rnacentral:pre_miRNA from 1 species
ACCGUCUGCUGAGUCCGCUGGUGAGGGGGUGAAUCCGCUCUCAGAUGUAGCGGAUUCACCUCCUCACCAGCGGACUCAGCCGGGUCGA